CAAGUACUCCCUCCGUUCGGAAUUACUUGUCAUCAAAAUGGAUGUGUCUAGAACUAAAAUACAUCUAGAUACAUCCAUUUCAAUGACAAGUAUUUCCGGACGGAGGGAGUACAAG
rnacentral:pre_miRNA from 1 species